rnacentral:lncRNA from 1 species
CAGUAACCAUACAGGACAAAAUCUGACUGCAUAAAUCCUAAGAUUGUUAACACAAGUCUCCGUCUCAAGUUUUUGAACAACUUGUUGGUUUUGGAUGUCCAUUUACCUAUCAUAGCAACAUUCACACAUUUCUGUCUUCUGUUAACAAGAACAUUUUGAAUAAGUCAAACAGAGCUAAGCCUGAUCACAUCUGUGCUGAUAUGACUUCCUACGCUGUUGAAACUUGAACUUCUUGAACACUGAUGAUCACAAUAUGCAGCAAUAUUAUACCCAGCAAUAAAGAUCAGUGUAAGCUGAUCACCUGCACAACAUUCUGCAUGUUAUCCUCUUUCUUUAUGCAAUAAAGAGUAUCAUGGACAUUGUU